rnacentral:rRNA from 1 species
GAUGAACGCUGGCGGCGUGCCUAAUACAUGCAAGUCGAGCGAAUGGAUUAAGAGCUUGCUCUUAUGAAGUUAGCGGCGGACGGGUGGGUAACACGUGGGUAACCUGCCCAUAAGACUGGGAUAACUCCGGGAAACCGGGGCUAAUACCGGAUAACAUUUUGAACCGCAUGGUUCGAAAUUGAAAGGCGGCUUCGGCUGUCACUUAUGGAUGGACCCGCGUCGCAUUAGCUAGUUGGUGAGGUAACGGCUCACCAAGGCAACGAUGCGUAGCCGACCUGAGAGGGUGAUCGGCCACACUGGGACAGAGACGCGGCCAAGACUCCUGCGGGAGGCAGCAGUAGGGAAUCUUCCGCACUGGACGAAAGUCUGACGGAGCAACGCCGCGUGAGUGAUGAAGGCUUUCGGGUCGUAAAACUCUGUUGUUAGGGAAGAACAAGUGCUAGUUGAAUAAGCUGGCACCUUGACGGUACCUAACCAGAAAGCCACGGCUAACUACGUGCCAGCAGCCGCCGUAA